rnacentral:rRNA from 1 species
GACGAACGCUGGCGGCGUGCCUAAUACAUGCAAGUCGAGCGGACCGGAUUGGUGCUUGCCUUGAUUCGGUCAGCGGCGGACGGGUGAGUAACACGUGGGCAACCUGCCCGCAAGACCGGGAUAACUCCGGGAAACCGGAGCUAAUACCGGAUAACACCGAAGACCGCAUGGUCUUCGGUUGAAAGGCGGCCUUUGGGCUGUCACUUGCGGAUGGGCCCGCGGCGCAUUAGCUAGUUGGUGAGGUAACGGCUCACCAAGGCGACGAUGCGUAGCCGGCCUGAGAGGGUGAGCGGCCACACUGGGACUGAGACACGGCCCAGACUCCUACGGGAGGCAGCAGUAGGGAAUCUUCCGCAAUGGGCGAAAGCCUGACGGGGCGACGCCGCGUGGGGGAAGAAGGCCUUCGGGUCGUAAAGCUCUGUUGUGAGGGACGAAGGAGCGUCGUUCGAAGAGGGCGGCGCGGUGACGGUACCUCACGAGAAAGCCCCGGCUAACUACGUG